AAAAAUAAAAAUAAAUGAAAAUUAGUGUAGCUGCCCAAACUCUGAGUGCAACAACCAGUGGAAUGCUUAAAUACACUGCAUUGUUCAAAACUACAGCCUCGGGUCAAAAUGUCAGUAAGACAAUGGUCACAACAGGCGAAGCUGUGGAGUUAAUUGACCAGCUAUUUGAUAGUGUGAACGGUUCUCGAGGAAGCACCGUCCGGGGCAAACUGCGUGGACCUAUAAAGCCGAACACAAAUCAAAUUUUCAAUUUUUGGACAGAAGCCAAAGAAAUAUUGAAAACGAUACAAUUUAUAGACGAAAAUAGCAAGAAAGCUCGCAAUAAUAACAAAAUUUAUAAGGUUCGAGUUCCUUCUCUUAAUGGAUGGAUUACAACUGUAGAAAGUUUUGAAAGGUUGUCGAAACUCUUGUUCGAGAAAUAUGAAAUAAAUUAUUUUUAUCCUAGAAAUGUAAAUCAGUAUCCUCUGGAAAACUUUUUUGGUAGGAUUAGAGCCAUCAACUACAGGAAUGUCAAUCCUGAUGCAAAUAGUUUUAUGAAUGCAUUUAAAUCAUAAUUAAUGUCCAAUGUUAUGGGUCCACAUUCCAUCUAUGCCAACUGUGAGGAUGACAAAGGAGACACAGUAGUCGAUUUUUUGAAACUCAUAUCCUCAUCCAAUAUUGAUAAAGAAAAUGCCAUGUGUAAUAGACCCAUUUUAAUAAGCCAAAACAUUAGCAAUAAUUGUAACCAAUCGCUAAAUCCAGUAAAUGAAAGAUUGCGUGUGCAUUCUUCUGCAUAUACAGCAGGGUAUAUGUGCAGGAGAGUGACAAAAAAAAUUAAAUGUAGGAGAUCCUCUGAGACUUACACCGAAACCAAAACAGAUGUUUUCCAUAAAUGGACCGAACAAAAAGAAUACAACCUUUAAAACAUCAAAAUUUUACGUAUCCAUCGAAGAAAUUUUUAAUUUUGUAUAGGGUAUAAGGGAUAUCUCGGGCCUUAUACAUGAUUACUUGAAUAAGUAUGCAUAUAAAAAAUGUAUAAAAAACGUUUAAGACAAGAAAUAUUAAAGCAAUUUGAUGUAAAUUGGUUGGGGUGUACACAUCACAAAACAGAAGCAAGGGAAUGGUUGCUUAAUUUAAUAACACGCACCCAUGUACAUAAAUGGUGCAACAUUAUCAAUAAAAUUUUAAAAGGAGGUGUUCAAGAAAAACUAGUGAAACAGAUGUGUGCACCUCAAAAAAAUGCCCAUGAGAAAUAUAAAACCCAUAGGCUAAGAGAAAAAGUUAAUAAAAACUAAAAUCUGAAAUGUUGUUUUAUUUUUAUAUUUCUUUCCUUAAAUUCGUAUCCAUUAAACAUCACGAAAGUAACUUUGAACCUUGCAAAUAACAUAGUUAACCCUAUAAGAAUUUUCCAUGGUACAUCACUAUGCUAUCGAUAUUCUAUGCCGGGCAUCGAGGCUUUUGUAGUGCGCUGUGGUGCAUGACUAGUAGGUGUCAUUACGACACUAGCGCUUGGUGUAUGUUUUUAGAACUAGACGUCAACCUUAGUACUGUCCUAUCUGACUAAUAUAUAGUUAUCUGUGGAUCAAAAUCAAGUUCUCAAAUUUGUUUCUAUACACCCCGCGAUUUCUAUUUACCCCAUUUCACGGUACAAAAAAAAAUCAAAAAUGAGCUAUAUCUUUUGUUUUGAAAUUAGAUGUAGCAUCAUGCCAUUUGAGAAGUUUUUUAGGUAUUAACCUGCAGUAUAUUAAACAUAACCAAAUUAUUAAAACAUUAAGUGUGACUGAACUCACCCAACGACACACAGCUGAGUUUUUAAAAGACCAAUUAAUUUAUGUUUUAAAUCGUUUCAAGAUAUCCAUCUCACAAAUUUAUUCCAUAACCACUGAUAACGGAGCAAAUAUGCUGAAAAUGGUCAGGUUAGUGGAACAAGCUGUAAAAACUAGCAUUCAAGGAAAUGAAGAUGACACAGAUGAAGACGAGAAUGAUAUUAUGGAGACGACGAGUGACGAAGUAAAUUUUAUACUCGAAGAUUAUCUUCACAGUGAACAUUACAUGGUUGCGGGAGUUAGAUGCGCUGCUCAUACGUUGCAGCUAGCGGUACAAGACGCUUUAGAGAGUGAAUCUUCAUGCAUUCUAAGUAUGCUAUCAAAUUGCGUUUCGUAUAAAAAAAAUACGAAACUCAGUGUACCAACACCUUCCAAAAAGUAUGGGGGCUAAAAAACCCCCACCACGGGUUUUUUAGCCCACACGUUGGAGUUCGACUUAUGAUAUGCUCACUCGGCUUCUAGAACUUCGACCAAUGCUGCAAUGUGUGUACGUGGAAUUCUAUAGAGAAUACUAUAACGUCUUUAAAACCAACCAAAAUCUUGACUUACAAAUUACAAAUGGAACAACUGACUAUGGGUGACUUUUACCUUGAUUGGAUAAAGUACAAAAUAGAGCUCAAGGCCAUAAACACAACAUGGAGAUUAGAGAAAAAGUACUGUUUACAUCUAAAGCAUUUGUCGCAGCUGCAUAUAUGGAUCCACGAAUUAACUUCUUGCUGACCACUAAUCAACUAGAGACUGCAGAACAUGUUUUGGUCAGUACUUGGAUGAGAUGGCGCAAGUUAAAUAAACAAGACCAUGACAGUACAGUGUUUAUCUCUCCUGUCGCCUCUACUUUAACGGCGUUGAACUAAAAGUCUCCCCACUUUUGUGA